AUAGCAAAGGCAAGAGACAAGGCUCAGACACUCUAAAGCUUCCAGGCUUGUGUUAGCAGCUUCACUGUUUUUAUCUGAUCAGGAACUUCUCCAGUUGACCCUUCUCCACACCUAUUUUCAAGCUCUUGCUUUCUUCAGCCACAUUCCUGCAAUCCUGUUCCAAAUCAGAGCUGCAGUCUUCACAAGGCUCAGCCAUGCGCCUGGCCAUCCUCCCAUUGCUGGCAGUACACUUUAUUCUGAGAGACACCAGUGCUCAGUCAGUGACUCAGCCUGAUGCUCAAGUCACUGUCUCUGAAGAUGCCUCUCUGCAGAUAAGAUGCAACUAUUCCUCUUCUGUGCCACCUAGCCUGUUCUGGUAUGUCCAGUACCCACGGCAGGGGCUGCAACUGCUUCUCAGCUACUACUCAGGAGACCCAGUGGUCCAUGGCAUGAAUGGCUUUGAGGCUGAGUUUAGCAAGAGCGACUCUUCUUUCAUCCUGAGGAAAGCCCGUGUGCACUGGAGCGAUUCAGCUGUGUACUUCUGUGCUCUGAGCGCACAGUGUCUGGGGCUGCAGGGGGAGCUGAACACAAACACCCAUGGCAGUGGGUACUCAUUCUCACUAUCUCCCUUCAUGGUCUUUGAAGCAUCUCUUUCUGUGGCUCUGCUUCUUUCUGGGAUGCCUGGACACCACUGGUAG